UUCGGGAUCACCCAUCACUUAAUGGGAUCACCCGUUGACCAUUGGGAUCACCCAUCGGUCUUUGGGGUCGCCCAUCAACGGGAUCCCCUAUUAAUCACUGGGAUUGCUCAUCAAUUAAUGGGAUAAUUAAUGGGAUCUCCCAUAAAUCACUGGGAUCACCCAUUGACCAUUGGGAUCGCCCAUCGGUCUUUGGGAUCAGCCAUCAAUUAAUGGGGUCCCCUAUUAAUCACUGGGAUCAGUCAUCAAUUAAUGGGAUCCCCCAUUGUUCUUUGGGAUCGCCCAUCAAUGGGAUCCCCUAUUAAUCACUGGGAUCAGCCCUCAAUUAAUGGGAUCCCCUAUCGUUCUUUGGGAUCGCCCAUCAAUGGGAUCCCCUAUUAAUCACUGGGAUCAGCCAUCAAUUAAUGAGCCCCCCCCACCCCAUCGCUAAUUGCGACCGACCGCCCAUCUUUGGGAUCAGCCAUGGACUCCUGGGAUCCCCUAUUAACCUCUGGGGUCCGCCGCCGAUCAUUGGGGCCAUCCAUUGCUCUUUGGGGCCGCCCAUUGCUCUUUGGGGUCACCCGUUGUUCUUUGGGAUCCCCCACUGAUCUUUGGGAUUUCCGCCCCCCCCCCCUUUUGGGGUCUCCCGUUGCCCCCCUCCCUGUAGAUACUGUACAGCCCCUUUGUAGACGUCGGGAUUUUUUCUAUGCACUUUUGGGGACGGAUUUUUUGGGGGGGUUUUGGGGGGAGGGGGUUUUUAUGGUUUCGGUCGGUUUGGGGUUUUGGGGGUUUUUUUUGUUUUUUAUUUAAGGUGGGGGCGGAACCGCCCCAAAUAAAGAGGAACUUUGGA
rnacentral:lncRNA from 1 species